AUGAUACAGAAAGUUAAGGCAACCAUGAUCAAGCUGAGGUACUCCAAGAGGCUGUUCAAGAGGAGCUCUUGGUCGAAGGCGAGUACUGACGGCGGCCAUGGCAAUGCGGCCGGCGGUCUCGGCGGCGGCGGGGAGAUAGAGUGGGAGGUGAGACCGGGAGGGAUGCUGGUGCAGAAGAGGGACGGUGGGCGUGCGGAGGAGGUGAUCAUGGUGAGGGUGUCCACUGGAUUCUCAUGGCAUGAUGUCUCCAUUGGGGCCACACGCACUUUUGGGGAACUGAAGGUGAUGCUGUCCAUGGUGACCGGGCUGGAGCCGAGGGAGCAGAUGUUGUUGUUCAAGAGGAAGGAGAGGGAGGACACUGACCACCUCCACAUGGUUGGGGUGAGGGACAAGGACAAGGUCCUCCUUCUCGAGGACCCUGCCCUCAAGGAUAUGAAGCUCCGCGUGGCGAGAGCGGUCGCGGCACAGGUUGCGUAA
rnacentral:rRNA from 1 species